rnacentral:rRNA from 1 species
AGAGUUUGAUCAUGGCUCAGAACGAACGCUGGCGGCGUGCCUAACACAUGCAAGUCGAGCGCGAAUGGAGCAAUCCUAGUAGAGCGGCGCACGGGUGCGUAACACGUGGGUAAUCUGCCUGGAAGCCCGGAACAACCUGCCGAAAGGCUGGCUAAUACCGGAUAAGCCUACGGCCCCUUCGGGGACUGAAGGAAAAGGAGGCCUCUGUAUACAAGCUUUCACUACCAGAUGAGCCCGCGGCCCAUCAGCUAGUUGGCGGGGUAAUGGCCCACCAAGGCAACGACGGGUAGCUGGUCUGAGAGGACGAUCAGCCACACUGGAACUGAGACACGGUCCAGACUCCUACGGGAGGCAGCAGUGGGGAAUUUUGCGCAAUGGGCGAAAGCCUGACGCAGCAACGCCGCGUGUGUGAUGAAGGUCUUCGGAUUGUAAAGCACUUUCGACCGGGACGAACACCCUCUGGCUAACACCCAGGGGCCUGACGGUACCGGGAGAAGAAGCACCGGCUAACUCUGUGCCAGCAGCCGCGGUAAUACAGAGGGUGCAAGCGUUGUUCGGAAUUAUUGGGCGUAAAGCGCGUGUAGGCGGCCUUGCAAGUCGGGUGUGAAAGCCCUCAGCUCAACUGAGGAAGUGCGCCCGAAACUGCAGAGCUUGAGUGCCGGAGAGGAGGGUGGAAUUCUCGAAGUAGAGGUGAAAUUCGUAGAUAUCGGGAGGAACACCGGUGGCGAAGGCGACCCUCUGGACGGACACUGACGCUGAGACGCGAAAGCGUGGGUAGCAAACAGGAUUAGAUACCCUUGUAGUCC